UACGGAAGGUCCGGGCGUUAUCCGGAUUUAUUGGGUUUAAAGGGAGCGUAGGCCGGAGAUUAAGCGUGUUGUGAAAUGUAGACGCUCAACGUCUGCACUGCAGCGCGAACUGGUUUCCUUGAGUACGCACAAAGUGGGCGGAAUUCGUGGUGUAGCGGUGAAAUGCUUAGAUAUCACACAGAACACCGAUUGCGAAGGCAUCUGGCGAAUCCGUAACUGACGCUGAAGCUCGAAAGUGCGGGUAUCGAACAGG
rnacentral:rRNA from 1 species